AUCCCCCCCCUCUCCUGUCCACUUGCACGUGGCCGGUGGUGUGGAUUGCCGUGGUUUUCCCCUCUUCUCCGCCCCCCUCUCUCCGUGGAUUUAUCUUAUUUCCUUUUAUGGCGAGCCUUGAGACUCUGUCGGGACACAUUCCCCGAUUGAAUGGACAGGUUGUUGCGGUGGGAAGCCUGUAACACCAGUGUUUAAGACGAAGUGAAUGAGUAAUUCCCAGGGCCCGUUGUAGUUUUCGAUGAACACUCCCUCUUCUCUGUUGGAGAGAGUUAGUAUCUGCAGGCACUGAGGAACAAGGGUGUGUCCCCUGUUGGACUGAACAUCUCAAUGGCUUUGACGUGAAGUUACUGUUUCACCAGCCGCUGGUUCAGUUCGAGUCAUUUAUGAGCUGAUAUUGCAGGUUCUAGUAUCAUGAUGGACUUGUAUGAUAUUGUUGCUGUCAUUAGGGUGUUUGGGCUUAUUUAGGUAACUUUAGUAGCCAAGUGUUUAUUUUUUGUGCAUUUGUGAAUGCUUUUUUUUUUUCUCCGUAUAUCUUGUGUGAGCUAGAAUUGUGCUAGUGUGCUCGUUUAUGACAAUAGAAAUAUUUUGGGGUUCACGUUUCUGGUGUUGCAUGCAAAGGCCAUCCAAUCUAUUCUAAACGCGUUGGAAGAAAAUGGAUGUGAAAACCUCUUACUUUCAGGACACGCAGCUUUUGUUUUUUGACUAAUGUUUUAAUGGUGGUUGUGCGAUUACGGUUGAGAGCCUCAAACAGAAAGGCUGUGAAACCAUUUAGGUCAUUGUGGUCGGUCACUAUAGUGACAGUGAGGUCAUGGUGGUUUAUCCAUAGAGACCUAGUCACUGAAGUGUGUUUCCCUGGGGAUCGUGUGAGGUCACGACAGUGUUUCCAUACUGCUCUGAAGUCUAGAUCCUAUAUCAGCUUAAUGGGGUCACAGCAUUGGAUCUCCAUAUGGUUCAGCGGGUCUCCAUAGGAACCGAGUGAGUCACAAGUGCUGGAUCUCAAUAGAAACCGUGCCUCGGAGUCAAUGGUUUGCAUAGAAGCAGGGUAAGGUUUCGUUUGCGCGAGGAUAGGCCGUUGUAGUAGCAGCCAGUGGCAUUUUUACAUGGAUACGUCACUUUUCUCUUUAGAGGAAUUGAUGUCUGGGACUUUUGUAUUCCAUUUUAGUCAUUCAAGCCUGUUCUAGUUUGGGUGUCACACAUGUUCUUCCUGCGUGUGCCUUGCGUAAUAAACCGAUGAUUACAAGCGUGUAUGCUGGUUUU